rnacentral:rRNA from 1 species
GUGGGGAAUAUUGGACAAUGGGCGAAAGCCUGAUCCAGCCAUGCCGCGUGAGUGAUGAAGGCCUUAGGGUUGUAAAGCUCUUUCAGUAGGGAAGAUAAUGACGGUACCUACAGAAGAAGCCCCGGCUAACUUCGUGCCAGCAGCCGCGGUAAUACGAAGGGGGCUAGCGUUGUUCGGAUUUACUGGGCGUAAAGCGCACGUAGGCGGAUUGGUCAGUUAGAGGUGAAAUCCUGGAGCUCAACUCCAGAACUGCCUUUAAUACUGCCAGUCUAGAGUCCAGAAGAGGUGAGUGGAACUCCUAGUGUAGAGGUGGAAUUCGUAGAUAUUAGGAAGAACACCAGUGGCGAAGGCGGCUCACUGGUCCGGUACUGACGCUGAGGUGCGAAAGCGUGGGGAGCAAACAGGAUUAGAAACCCUGGUAGUCC